UCAGUGAAAUCGAAAUCGCUGUGAAGAUGCAGUGUACCCGCGGCUAGACGGAAAGACCCCGUGAACCUUUACUGCAGCUUGACACUGAACUUUGACCUUACUUGUGUAGGAUAGGUGGGAGGCUUUGAAGCUGGAACGCUAGUUCCAGUGGAGCCGUCCUUGAAAUACCACCCUGGUAAUGUUGAGGUUCUAACUCUGUCCCGUGAUCCGGGACGAGGACCGUGUCUGGUGGGUAGUUUGACUGGGGCGGUCUCCUCCUAAAGAGUAACGGAGGAGUACGAAGGUGCGCUCAGCGUGGUCGGAAAUCACGCGUAGAGUAUAAAGGCAAAAGCGCGCUUAACUGCGAGACCCACAAGUCGAGCAGGUACGAAAGUAGGUCUUAGUGAUCCGGUGGUUCUGUAUGGAAGGGCCAUCGCUCAACGGAUAAAAGGUACUCUGGGGAUAACAGGCUGAUACCGCCCAAGAGUUCAUAUCGACGGCGGUGUUUGGCACCUCGAUGUCGGCUCAUCUCAUCCUGGGGCUGAAGCAGGUCCCAAGGGUAUGGCUGUUCGCCAUUUAAAGAGGUACGCGAGCUGGGUUUAGAACGUCGUGAGACAGUUCGGUCCCUAUCUACCGUGGGCGCUGGAAAUUUGAGAGGAUCUGCUCCUAGUACGAGAGGACCAGAGUGGACGAACCUCUGGUGUACCGGUUGUGACGCCAGUCGCAUCGCCGGGUAGCUAUGUUCGGAAGGGAUAACCGCUGAAAGCAUCUAAGCGGGAAGCCUACCUCAAGAUAAGAUUUCCCUAGGACUUUAUGUCCUCUAAAGAGCCGUUCGAGACUAGGACGUUGAUAGGUUGGAUGUGGAAGCAUAGUGAUAUGUGAAGCUGACCAAUACUAAUUGCUCGUGAGGCUUGACUAU
rnacentral:rRNA from 1 species